CGUGUUUGGAUUACAGAAUUAAGGAAGUUCACUGGAGUAAAAUGGAGGCCUCUGUAAUAUUACCCAUUCUGAAGAAAAAACUAGCCUUCCUUUCAGGAGGAAAGGACAGACGGAGUGGCCUCAUUUUGACAAUUCCAUUAUGCCUCGAGCAGACAAAUAUGGCUGAGCUGAGUGUCACCUUAGACUACCUAUUCAGCAUUCCAAGUGAGAAUUGUAAGGCUAGAGGAUUUACCGUCAUUCUGGAUGGCAGAAAAUCACAGUGGAAUGUGGUGAAAACAGUAGUUGUAAUGCUACAGAAUGUUGUUCCAGCUGAGGUGUCCCUUGUUUGUGUGGUAAAGCCAGAUGAAUUCUGGGAUAAGAAAGUAACACAUUUUUGUUUUUGGAAAGAAAAGGAUAGACUUGGCUUUGAGGUUAUUUUAGUGUCUGCCAACAAAUUGACUCGUUAUAUAGAACCAUGCCAAUUAACAGAAGAUUUUGGUGGGAGUCUUACCUAUGAUCACAUGGACUGGUUAAAUAAGAGGCUGGUUUUUGAGAAGUUUACAAAGGAAUCUACAUCAUUGUUAGAUGAACUUGCUUUGAUUAACAAUGGAAGUGACAAAGGAAAUCAGCAAGAGAAAGAAAGGUCUGUAGAUUUAAACUUUCUUCCAUCGGUUGAUCCUGAAACAGUUCUUCAGACAGGGCAUGGAUUGUUAUCCGAAUUACAGCAGCGUCGAUUUAAUGGCUCAGAUGGAGGGGUGUCAUGGUCUCCUAUGGAUGAUGAACUGCUUGCACAGCCACAGGUUAUGAAAUUAUUAGAUUCACUCCGAGAGCAAUAUACCCGCUACCAGGAAGUUUGUAGGCAACGUAGCAAGCGCACACAGUUAGAAGAGAUUCAACAGAAAGUGAUGCAGGUUGUGAACUGGCUUGAAGGACCUGGAUCAGAACAACUAAGAGCGCAGUGGGGCAUUGGAGACUCCAUUAGGGCUUCCCAGGUCCUACAGCAGAAGCACGAAGAGAUUGAGAGCCAGCACAGUGAAUGGUUUGCAGUGUAUGUGGAACUUAAUCAGCAAAUUGCAGCACUCUUGAAUGCUGGCGAUGAGGAAGAUCUUGUGGAACUGAAGUCACUGCAGCAACAACUUAGUGAUGUUUGUUAUCGACAGGCCAGUCAGCGGGAAUUUUGGCAAAACCUCUUACAGGCACCUCUUGAAUUUCAUGGUGUUGCCCAAGAUUUGUCUCAGCAGUUGGAUGGCUUAUUAGGGAUGUUGUGUGUAGAUGUAGCACCAGCUGAUGGAGCAUCGAUUCAGCAAACUUUAAAACUGCUUGAAGAGAAGCUGAAAAGUGUUGAUGUGGGAUUGCAAGGUUUGCGUGAAAAAGGUCAAGGUCUCCUAGAUCAGAUCUCCAAUCAGGCAUCCUGGGCCUAUGGAAAGGAUGUAACCAUUGAAAAUAAAGAAAAUGUGGACCACAUACAAGGAGUGAUGGAAGAUAUGCAACUUAGAAAACAAAGAUGUGAAGACAUGGUAGAUGUGCGAAGGUUAAAGAUGCUUCAGAUGGUGCAGUUGUUUAAAUGCGAAGAAGACGCUGCCCAGGCAGUAGAAUGGCUAAGUGAACUCCUGGAUGCUCUGCUUAAGACCCACAUCAGAUUGGGCGAUGAUGCUCAAGAAACGAAAGUUUUGCUGGAAAAGCAUAGAAAAUUUGUUGAUGUUGCACAGAGCACUUAUGACUACGGCAGGCAGUUGCUACAGGCUACAGUUGUGUUAUGCCAAUCUUUGCUCUGCACUUCUCGAUCAUCUGGGGAUACACUUCCUCGGUUGAACAGAGUAUGGAAACAAUUUACAAUAGCAUCUGAAGAGAGAGUACAUAGGUUGGAAAUGGCUAUUGCAUUUCUCUCAAAUGCUGAAAAGAUUUUGCAGGACUGUCCAGAAGAGCCUGAAGCUAUUAAUGAUGAGGAGCAAUUUGAUGAAAUUGAAGCAAUUGGGAAAUCACUUUUGGAUAGAUUAACUGUUCCUGUAGUUUAUCCUGAUGGAACCGAACAAUAUUUUGGGAGUCCAAGUGACAUGGCUUCUACUGCAGAACACAUCAGAGACAGGAUGAAACUAGUUAGUCUCAAAAGGCAGCAGCUGAGACAUCCUGAAAUGGUGACCACAGAGAGCUAAUAGACACCAGCUACCUACAGAUUUGCAGUUCGUAAUCGCGCAUGUUGUCAACGUAAUAUAUAGCAUUAGCCACAACACAUUAAGAUGCAUUUCACAGCCAGAAUAAGCCUCAUUUCUUUUCAUGACAUUUCUCUCUACAUGUUAACACCUUGCUACUACUAAGGCAUAAUUAUUUAACAUGCUUCAAGGCUAUAAACUCCAAGUAUCUUAAAAGAAGGAACUAUAAACAUUGCACUGAAAACUUGCUUUAAAGCUUUAUUUGACCUGUCAGUUUGUAGAUGAACAACUGAUAAUAAGCUUUGAAUGGUGCUAAUAAGAGUAGGAGUUAUCUCUAUUUAAAAAAAAAAAAA